GGGAUGCGUUCCAUUAGGCAGUUGGCGGGGUAACGGCCCACCAAACCUACGAUGGAUAGGGGUUCUGAGAGGAAGGUCCCCCACAUUGGAACUGAGACACGGUCCAAACUCCUACGGGAGGCAGCAGUGAGGAAUAUUGGUCAAUGGGCGGAAGCCUGAACCAGCCAAGUAGCGUGAAGGAUGACUGCCCUAUGGGUUGUAAACUUCUUUUAUAAGGGAAUAAAUGUGGGUACGCGUACCCAUUUGCAUGUACCUUAUGAAUAAGGAUCGGCUAACUCCGUGCCAGCAGCCGCGGUAAUACGGAGGAUCCGAGCGUUAUCCGGAUUUAUUGGGUUUAAAGGGAGCGUAGGCGGGCGCUUAAGUCAGCUGUGAAAGUUUGGGGCUCAACCUUAAAAUUGCAGUUGAUACUGGGCGUCUUGAGUGCAGCAUAGGCAGGCGGAAUUCGUGGUGUAGCGGUGAAAUGCUUAGAUAUCACGAAGAACUCCGAUUGCGAAGGCAGCUUGCUGGAGUGUAACUGACGCUGAUGCUCGAAAGUGUGGGUAUCAAACAGGAUUAGAUACCCUGGUAGUCCACACAGUAAACGAUGAAUACUCGCUGUUUGCGAUAUAGGGCAAGCGGCCAAGCGAAAGCGUUAAGUAUUCCACCUGGGGAGUACGCCGGCAACGGUGAAACUCAAAGGAAUUGACGGGGGCCCGCACAAGCGGAGGAACAUGUGGUUUAAUUCGAUGAUACGCGAGGAACCUUACCCGGGCUUGAAUUGCAACUGAAUUGGCCGGAAACGGUCAAGCCGCAAGGCAGUUGUGAAGGUGCUGCAUGGUUGUCGUCAGCUCGUGCCGUGAGGUGUCGGCUUAAGUGCCAUAACGAGCGCAACCCUUAUCCACAGUUACCAUCAGGUUAUGCUGGGGACUCUGUGAGAGACUGCCGUCGUAAGAUGCGAGGAAGGGGGGGAUGACGUCAAAUCAGCACGGCCCUUACGUCCGGGGCUACACACGUGUUACAAUGGGGGGUACAGAAGGCAGCUACGCGGCGACGCGCGGCUAAUCCCUAAAUCCCCUCUCAGUUCGGACUGGAGUCUGCAACCCGACUCCACGAAGCUGGAUUCGCUAGUAAUCGCGCAUCAGCCACGGCGCGGUGAAUACGUUCCCGGGCCUUGUACACACCGCCCGUCAAGCCAUGAAAGCCGGGGGUACCUGAAGUGCGUAACCGUC
rnacentral:rRNA from 1 species